UACGGGGGGGGCAAGCGUUGUUCGGAAUUAUUGGGCGUAAAGGGCCAGUAGGCGGCCAACUAAGUCGGAUGUGAAAUCCCCAGGCUUAACCUGGGAACUGCAUCCGAUACUGGAUGGCUUGAAUUCGGGAGAGGGAUGCAGAAUUCCAGGUGUAGCGGUGAAAUGCGUAGAUAUCUGGAGGAAUACCGGUGGCGAAGGCGGCAUCCUGGACCGACAUUGACGCUGAACGGCGAAAGCUAGGGGAGCAAACGGG
rnacentral:rRNA from 1 species